CCUACGGGAGGCAGCAGUGGGGAAUAUUGGACAAUGGGGGGAACCCUGAUCCAGCCAUGCCGCGUGUGUGAAGAAGGCCCUCGGGUUGUAAAGCACUUUCAGUGAGGAAGAACGCCUGGUGGUUAAUACCCAUCAGGAAAGACAUCACUCACAGAAGAAGCACCGGCUAACUCCGUGCCAGCAGCCGCGGUAAUACGGAGGGUGCGAGCGUUAAUCGGAAUUACUGGGCGUAAAGCGCGCGUAGGUGGCUUGAUAAGCCGGUUGUGAAAGCCCCGGGCUCAACCUGGGAACGGCAUCCGGAACUGUCAAGCUAGAGUGCAGGAGAGGAAGGUAGAAUUCCCGGUGUAGCGGUGAAAUGCGUAGAGAUCGGGAGGAAUACCAGUGGCGAAGGCGGCCUUCUGGACUGACACUGACACUGAGGUGCGAAAGCGUGGAUAGCAAACAGGAUUAGAUACCCCAGUAGUC
rnacentral:rRNA from 1 species